rnacentral:tRNA from 1 species
AAAAAGAUAAGCUAAAUAAGCUCUUAGGUUCAUACCCUUUUUAUGAAAGUUUUAAUCUUUCUCUUUUUA